rnacentral:rRNA from 1 species
GACAGCAGUAGCCACGGUAAUACGAAGGGGGCUAGCGUUGUUCGGAAUUACUGGGCGUAAAGCGCACGUAGGCGGAUAUUUAAGUCAGGGGUGAAAUCCCGCAGCUCAACUGCGGAACUGCCUUUGAUACUGGGUAUCUUGAGUAUGGAAGAGGUAAGUGGAAUUGCGAGUGUAGAGGUGAAAUUCGUAGAUAUUCGCAGGAACACCAGUGGCGAAGGCGGCUUACUGGUCCAUUACUGACGCUGAGGUGCGAAAGCGUGGGGAGCAAACAGGAUUAGAGACCCCUGUAGUCCCUGUCUCUUAUAC